rnacentral:rRNA from 1 species
GAGUUUGAUCAUGGCUCAGAUUGAACGCUGGCGGCAUGCCUAACACAUGCAAGUCGAACGGUAACGCGGAGAGCUUGCUCUCUGGCGACGAGUGGCGGACGGGUGAGUAACAUAUAGGAAUCUGCCCUGAAGUGGGGAACAACCCUGGGAAACCAGGGCUAAUACCGCAUACCCUCUACGGAGGAAAGCCGGGGACCUUCGGGCCUGGCGCUUCGGGAUGAGCCUAUAUCCGAUUAGCUAGUUGGUAGGGUAAUGGCCUACCAAGGCGACGAUCGGUAGCUGGUCUGAGAGGAUGAUCAGCCACACUGGGACUGAGACACGGCCCAGACUCCUACGGGAGGCAGCAGUGGGGAAUAUUGGACAAUGGGCGCAAGCCUGAUCCAGCAAUGCCGCGUGUGUGAAGAAGGCCUGCGGGCUGUAAAGCACUUUCAGUUGGGAGGAAAAGCCCUUGAUUAACAGUUGAGGGUCUUGACGUUACCGACAGAAGAAGCACCGGCUAACUCCGUGCCAGCAGCCGCGGUAAUACGGAGGGUGCAAGCGUUAAUCGGAAUUACUGGGCGUAAAGAGUACGUAGGCGGUUAUAUCAGUCGGAUGUGAAAGCCCAAGGCUUAACCUUGGGAUUGCAUUCGAUACUAUAUAACUAGAGUACAGUAGAGGAAGGUGGAAUUCAUAGUGUAGCGGUGAAAUGCGUAGAUAUUAUGAGGAACAUCAGUGGCGAAGGCGACCUUCUGGACUGAUACUGACGCUGAUGUACGAAAGCGUGGGGAGCAACAGGAUUAGAUACCCUGGUAGUCACGCCUAACGAUGAGAACUAGAUGUUGGAGGGAUUUGCCUUUAGUGUCGUAGCUAACGCGAUAAGUUCUUCGCUGGGGAGUACGACGCAAGUAAAACUCAAAUGGAUGGACGUGACCGCACAGCGGUGGAGCAUGUGCUAAUCCAUGCACGCGAGACUUACUGGCCUGAACUCUCGAUCUUCAAACUAGAUGCUCGGAACCAAGACGAUCCAUGCGUGUCUACCUCUCUGGUUCCUGAGU